rnacentral:rRNA from 1 species
UACGAGGGGAGCAAGCGUUGUUCGGAUUUACUGGGCGUAAAGGGCGCGUAGGCGGCCACGACAAGUCACUUGUGAAAUCUCCGGGCUUAACCCGGAAAGGUCAAGUGAUACUGUCGGGCUAGAGUGCAGAAGGGGCAACUGGAAUUCUCGGUGUAGCGGUGAAAUGCGUAGAUAUCGAGAGGAACACCUGCGGCGAAGGCGGGUUGCUGGGCUGAUACUGACGCUGAUGCGCGAAAGCCAGGGGAGCGAACGGG